AAUGGUUGUUGACGAAGCAUGAUAAGCUUAGUCGUAUUAAGAAGGACGGAACGUAAUAUUGCUCUGUAUUAUCUGACUUGGCACGAAACAUUAAUAUCGAUUCGUGCAAGAACUCUCAUAUUUACCAGCUGAAAGAUCUUUUUAUUCAGUUUUGCUUUCAGCGAACAUGUUUUUAAAGUGUCAGCCAAAAAUAGAGAGAAAAGUCACGUGAUCUAUGUUUUCAGCAAAUUUUUUUUUUAACAUAAAAGUGAAACUAGGCUUAGUGGAUUUUUCUUUUUUGGUUGGUACGAAAAAUGAGUAAGCUGAAACUUGGCACUGAAUGUGAAGAACAGGCUCCCGAAAGAACACUUGCGAAAGGUAUCGCGAAGAUCUAAAAACUUUGAGCGAUCACCGAACCAACCAUCUCGAAGCAUCGGAUCGAAUUAGAUCACACGAAGGUCCGAAGGGCUGACGGCUUUUCCGUGAUGUAUUCACCUAUUCCUCCCGGGAACAUGUUUCACAAUGCCCAAUCACUGAUGUCCUCAGGUGGACAGAACAAAACCCCCUUUUCAAAUAAUAUGCAAGAUUGGUGACUAAGACAAGCCUUGGGCCCUGCAUGUUGUGGUACAUGUACAACACAGCUUUCACAAGUGGUUGUAUCAGUCAGGCUUCACUAAUUGCUUUCAUUUGGUUGGACAGGUUCCUCACCUUCACUCAUAUCUCUCCCUUUCUCAGGUUAUACCAUUCUUUCCUGCAGUAGGGUAGAAGUUUAAAUCUCUUGAUCUCUACAAUAUCAUGAAUUAAAAUUAAUAUGAUAACUAAAUAAUAAGAAAAUAUUCAUAAUCAGAAUGCUUUAUUUAUUCCAGGAUAGUUAAAAAACUUGUU